ensembl:lncRNA
CAGACCCGUCCGGGGGGUCCCGCAGUGGGCGGGGGAUGCUGCGGGGGUGGGAUGGGGGCCGGGGACGAGCGCAGCCGGCCCGGGGACCGGUGAUGGGGACCGGGACCGGGGGCGGCGCCGGUGGGAGGCUCCCGGUCCCGGCCCCGGCGGUAACUCCGCCUGCCGUAUUUAUGGGAAAACAAGCGGCGGCGGAGCCGGGCGGCCGCGGCGGAGCAUCAGCCUGAGCCGUGCCGUGCCGGGUCUGGUCGGGCCGUGCCGGGUCGGGCCGUGCCGGGUCGGGCCGUGCCGUGCCGGAUCGGGCGGAGCCGGGCCGGGGCAUGGCCACAGAGGCGGCGGCAGCCCGAGCCUAGCGCGGCGGCGGCGGGGAUGCGGCGGGGGGGGCGACAGGCGCAGAGCAGCGCUGGGAUGGAGCCGUGGUGGGGCCCUUGCUCAGCUCAGCCCACCCACCCCCUUCCUGCUGCUGCCGGACCAGGGCCGGCUGCCUUCCUCUGAGGCCAUCUGAAGGGGAGCUGGCA